UUAAAUAGAAGAUGGGCCCUAAAAGCCUAGUAACUUUAUAUUCAUGUAAACUGUUUUAUAAAAGAGUGUAUAAAACCAGGAAUAAUUAAGAAAAAGAAAAAUAAUAUUAGGUGCCAACCUAAAAUCAAACCACUAUGGGCGGGAUCUACUGAUAAUAGCACUAUGAGCAGAAUGUAAAUACAAAAGAUUUGACCUCAGGACCCUGCAAAGUAACUUUAUUAUACAAAUAAACUGAAAUUUAGGCUCAGUUUAGAAAAUAAAUCCCGUAAAAAUGCAGUACACCUUACUGUUAACAAAGUUUUGAAGUAGAUUGUAUACACCUUAUAAGGUCAUUAUAUUUAAAUAAACGAAUUCUCAAUUUAAAUGUUUAAAUUUUUAUAAUUUUGUUUGUUUAGUGGGAAGAUGCUUUGUUUUGCUCCCUUAAUCUUAGAGAUGAUCAGUAUAUUAAUCCAGUUUUAUGGGGGAACUAUCCAGAUCCAGGCGUGCUAAAGUUGAAAGAUGGGAAGGGUUAUAUUGCUGUUACAGCUUCAAACUAUGCAUUUGGGUUCAAAAACGAGCCUGCCUUUCCUAUUCAUUACUCUACAGAUCUUAUUCAUUGGAGUCAAAAAGGCUGGGUGUUCCCGCGGGGUAGAUGGCCCUCCUGGUGUUUCCAGGCAGAGUUUCACAUUUUUAAUUUUUU